CUUGUGACAUGGCCCCUGGCCAGGCUAGCCACUUAGCUUACGUGGGGGAGGCGGUUGAAGAAAGCAGCCCCCAUGUUGGCCUCCACCCUGUAUUCAGCCUCUGUAUUUAGCAGGGAGGAAACAGACACUCAGAGACUCCGAGGUCCUCCUAAGGUCACAAGACGGUUGGUAGUGGCACCAGGAUCUAAGGCACCAUAUGGAACACGGGAAGUAUAACAGGAGAGAGACGAAGAUGAUACCAGAGACACACAGCUUUUCGGUACAGAAAGACGGGACGCUUCUGGAAAUCCCCAGGCUUUUCAGGAUCAUUUCCACAGGUGCAGAAACCUAAAAGAAAGACCUAUGAGAGCAUGUGUGACAGUGUGCUGGUGAUGGCCCGGUGGUUCUAGGAUCAGACUGAAGGGACCUGGCUUGAACAACACUGAGCCGUCUCACUAUGCCCAAGCUUUUGACGCUGCAAUCCAGCAUCAUCUGGGACACAGGCUAGCUAACCUGGACACAUGCGGCCCAUGCUCCCUCCUUUCGGCCUGCCUGAAUUCAACCACUGUCAAUACUGUGCUCUCCUUGUUACACAAUACGUAUGUCCCUGUAUUGCUCUGUAAGACACCAUCAUGUGUGCCCGUAAUUAAAGGCUUUGUCCAUCUCCCUAGAUAUUUUGACCUGUAUCACCAAAAAAUAGUAUUCUCCAACAUAAGCACAACGCCAGAAUCCCAUUCAAGGAACGUUGGCAGUGACCUCCUGCUGCUGUCUCUCCGUAGAGUCUGUGUUCCAUCAAAUAUCCCUCAAGGUUCUUUAUGGUGGUUUGAAUUCUUCCAGUCAGGCUCCAAUCUGGUGG